rnacentral:rRNA from 1 species
GACGAACGCUGGCGGCGUGCUUAACACAUGCAAGUCGAACGGAAAGGCCCUGCUUUUGUGGGGUGCUCGAGUGGCGAACGGGUGAGUAACACGUGAGUAACCUGCCCUUGACUUUGGGAUAACUUCAGGAAACUGGGGCUAAUACCGGAUAGGAGCUCCUGCUGCAUGGUGGGGGUUGGAAAGUUUCGGCGGUUGGGGAUGGACUCGCGGCUUAUCAGCUUGUUGGUGGGGUAGUGGCUUACCAAGGCUUUGACGGGUAGCCGGCCUGAGAGGGUGACCGGCGACAUUGGGACUGAGGUACGGCCCAGACGCCUACGGGAGGCAGCAGUGGGGAAUAUUGCGCAGUGGGCGGAAGCCUGAUGCAGCAACGCCGCGUGCGGGAUGACGGCCUUCGGGUUGUAAACCGCUUUCGCCUGUGACGAAGCGGGAGUGACGGUAAUGGGUAAAGAAGCACCGGCUAACUACGUG